GCGUAAAUUAAGGGGUGCCCGAGGUUUCGGGCUGAGAUGAAACCCUCUGACCUGAUCCGGAUAAUGCCGGCGUAGGAAUUAAAAGAAGGAAAUGC
rfam:Prevotella saccharolytica F0055 genomic scaffold Scfld253, whole genome shotgun sequence.